GACGAACGCUGGCGGCGUGCUUAACACAUGCAAGUCGAGCGGAGCGGCGAACGGGUGAGUAACGCGUGAGUAACUGCCCCCCUCUCUGGGAUAACAGUUGGCAACGGCUGCUAAUACCGGAUAGUGGGGGAUGACUCGCGUCCUAUCAGCUUGUUGGUGGGGUAGUGGCCUACCAGGGCGACGACGGGUAGCCGGCCUAGAGGGCGACCGGCCACAUUGGGCUGAGAUACGGCCCAAACUCCUACGGGAGGCAGCAGUGGGGAAUAUUGCACAAUGGGGGAAACCCUGAUGCAGCAACGCGCGUGCGGGAUGACGGCCUUCGGGUUGUAAAGUACUUUUGUUAGGGAAGUGCUAAUACCACUGUUUGCUGACGGUACCUAAAGAAUAAGCACCGGCUAACUACGUGCCAGCAGCCGCGGUAAUAC
rnacentral:rRNA from 1 species